rnacentral:rRNA from 1 species
CAGAAGGAAACUCAAUUGCUCAAGUCCUUCCGCCAAUAAAUGCACAUAGUUAGAACGGCGAGUGAAGCGGGAAGAGCUCAAAUUUGUAAUCUGGCACUUUCAGUGUCCGAGUUGUAAUCUCGAGAAGUAUUUUCCGCGCCGGACCGCAUACAAGUCUGUUGGAAUACAGCGUCAUAGUGGUGAGAACCCCGUAACUGAUGCGGAUGCCCGGUGCUUUGUGAUAUACUUUCGAAGAGUCGAGUUGUUUGGGAAUGCAGCUCAAAUUGGGUGGUAAAUUCCAUCUAAAGCUAAAUAUUGGAGCAAGACCGAUAGCGAACAAGUACCGUGAGGGAAAGAUGAAAAGCACUUUGGAAAGAGAGUUAACAGUACGUGAAAUUGUUGGAAGGGAAACGCUUGAAGUCAGACUUGCUAUUCGGAGUUCAGCCGCAAGGUGUAUUCUUCGAUUUGCAGGCCAGCAUCAGUUUUUGGGGGUGGAAAAUCGUGGUUUGAAGGUAGCAGUUUCGGCUGUGUUAUAGCUUUCCACUGGAUUCAUCUUCGGGGACUGAGGAACGCAGUACGCUUUUUGCAAGGCUCUCGAGCUUUU